UGGUUGGCAAAUAAGGGCGAACGGUGGAUGCCUAGACUAGAAAAGGCGAUGAAGGACGCGGCGUAGCAGCGAUAUGCCUCGGGGAGGUGCGUAGCAACCUAUGAUCCGGGGAUCUCCGAAUGGGGAAACCUAGUUGAGUAACCCUCAAUUGUUUCGAGCAAUCGAUUCGCGUACCCACUGAAGUAAAACAUUCCAGUAAGUGGAGGAAAAAAGAACAAAUCAGUUAUUCCCCUAGUAUCGGCGAGAGAACAGGGAACAGCCCAAACUAAGGUUGUGAUUUAUCACUGUCUUGGGGUUUAGUAGGAAACGCUCUCCAGUGAAUAACAUAGGGCGCCUGCGCAAGCAGCGUGCUCUCUGUUAUUCAUACGGAGGUGGAGGAGUAAAAAAAUCUUUUGUUAGCCAAAGCCGUCUGGAAAGCGGCGCCAGAGCGGGUGAUAGCCCCCUAGGCGAAAACAAUUGGUCUCCUUAGUUUUUUAACUCGAGUACUUCGGAGUAAAACAGUUCCGGAGGAAUAUGCCUGUACUAUCAGGUAAGGCUAAAUACUUUUCUAGAUCGAUAGUGAACAAGUACCGUGAGGGAAAGGUGAAAAGCAGGCCGGUGAGGCCGUUGAAAUAGAACCUGAAACCGUUUGUCUACAAGGAAUUGAAGCACGAGCGGUGCUUCGCACCGAGCUUUCGAGUUCAAGUACUGUGUCGAGCGUAAGCGAGACACAUUCGUAGAACUGGAGUGCUCGAUGCGGAGCAUCGAGUGCGACAAUGUGCCUAUUGAAGAAUGAUCCAACGACUUAUUUUGUGUUGCAGUCUAAGCGCGCAAGCGUGCAGGCAUAGCGAAAGCGAGUCAUAAUAUGGCGUCAUAUAAUGCAGCGCAAGAUAGACCCGAAGCGUGAUGAGCUUGCCUUGGCCAGGGUGAACUCCCGAGAAAUCGGGAGGGAGGCCCGAACCGGUUGAUUGUUCAAAAUCUUCGGAUGAGCUGAGGUAAGGAGUGAAAAGCUAAUCGAAUAACGUAAUAGCUGGUUCUCUCCGAAACAGUUUUAGGACUGGCGGCAAGAGUUCCUCUUGGGGGUAGAGCACUGGAUGAUCGUUACAGGGGGAAACUCCGAACGAUCAAUCAAACUCCGAAUACCGAGAGUCAAGAUCUUGCUAGUUAGACUGCGGGGGCUAAGCUCCGUGGUCGCGAGGGGAAGAGCCCAGAUCGUCAUCUAAGGUCCCUAAAUCCAUGCUAAGUGUGAAAGGUAGUCAUAACCCAUAGACAGAUAGGAGGUUGGCUUAGAGGUAGCCAUCCUUUAAAGAGUGUGUAACAACUCACUAUUCGACGGGUCGUGGCGCCGAAAAUGUACCGGGGCUAAGCAUGGUACCGAAGAUACGGAUUUACACUUCCUUCGGGAGGUGUAAGUGGUAGGAGAGCAUUUCGGCCUGCAGUGAAGGUCGACCCGCGAGGGCGACUGGAGCGGCCGGAAGAGAAAAUGUUGGAAUGAGUAACCACAAUCCCAAUGAGAAAUUGGAACCCCGAAAAUCCAAGGUUUCCGUGGCACUGGCAAUCAACCACGGGUGAGGCGGUCCUAAGGCAAUGGCGAAAGCCGCAGUCGAUGGGAAGCUGGUUAAUAUUCCAGCCCGGCCGCACGAUCAUAACUGGAGGACGAAGGAAACAGGCAGCCGUGUCUUAUUGGUUUGGCAUUGUUUGUGUCAAGUUAAUGCGGACACCGACAGAAGGUCAGGAAUUUACCUGGCCGACGGCUGUGAAGAGCCUUCCGAGAAAAAUCCAGCCAAAUCGAGCGUGAGGCCCCCGUACCGUAAACCGACACUGGUGGAUAGGGCGAGUAGCCCAAGGGGAACGAGUGAUUCAUCGUUAAGGAACUAGGCAAAAUAGCGGCCGUAAGUUAGCGAUAAGGCCUGCCCUUUCUCAUAGCAAUAUGGGGCGGGGCCGCAGCGAAAGAACCUCUGGCGACUGUUUACCAAAAACACAGCUCCCUGCUAACUGGCAACAGGAUGUAUAGGGGGUGACACCUGACCGAUGCGAGAAGGUCAAGCUUGGGGGUGGCGCAGCAAUGCGUUUGCUCACUGAGUCAAGCCCUCGUCAAUGUCAGCGAUAACUAUAAUCGUUCUAAGGUAGCGCAAUUCCUUUUCGGGUAAGUUCCGAAGCGCACGAAAGGUGUAACGACCGGAGAACUGUCUCAACGAUGAGCUCGGUGAAAAUGCGAUUCCCGUGAAGACGCGGGAUACCUGCAGCGGGACGAAAAGACCCCGGAAGCUUUACUGCAGCUUGGUAUUGAUUUCAGAGUUUUGUUACGUAGCGUAGUGGCGAGGAUUUGAAGCGUCGCUUUCGGGUGACGUGGAUCCGACAAUGAAACAGCCAUUUUCAAAAUUUUGACGUCUAACUGGUAGGGAACCCUUCGGGGAAACCCUGCCAAGACAGUGCUUGGUAGGCAGUUUAAAUGGGGCGUUUUCCUCCAAAAGAGUAACGGAGGAGUUUAUUAAGGUCAGCUUAGCCCGGAUGGAAAUCGGGCAGGACGUGCAAACGCAAAAGCUGGCUUGACUGCGAGACAUACAAGUCGAGCAGGUGCGAAAGCAGAAGUUAGUGACCCGACGGCUUCUUAAUAGAAAGGCCGGAGAUACCGGAUAAAAGCUACUCCGGGGAUAACAGGCUAGUAUUGUCCGAGCGUCCCUAGCGACGACAAUGCUCGGCACCUCGAUGUCGGCUCGCCACAGCGCGGGGGUGUAGAAGCUCCCAAGCGUUUGGCUGUUCGCCAAUUAAAGUGGCACGUGAGCUGGGUUCAGACCGUCAACGAAGAUAACCCAAUCGAAGGUAACGUAAGAAACUGUUCAUUGUUAGAUAAAACGGCGGCCCAAGAAAGCAAUUUCUUGGAGUGAAGCUUUGCAUUAAAGUCCGUCAUUCGUCCGACGGAUCGUAAAGCAAGAAAAUCGACUCAUAUCGGUGAAGUCCUUGUCAGAUCUAGACCUGGAUCGCAAGGAUAAUACCGAGGGAAGUUUGUUGAAGUUGAGACAGGGCGGCGGAAGCAAUCAGUUUCAACAUAACCCCUUAGAGACUUAGCUCGAAAGAGCUGGAGUCCGGCAAUCAUGCCGGGCUAACACGUCGAUCAUCUCGAAAGAGAUGGUGGUAUAGUCCAACCCGCCAGUAAUGGCGAUAGAAGAAAAGUUGCGUGAGACAGGUCGGUCUCUAUCUGCUGCAGGCGUUACAUACUUGAGGGGAGUUGGCCUUAGUACGAGAGGACUGGGCUGAACAUACCUCUGGUCUACCGGCUUUGCCACCAGGUGAACUGCCGGGUAGCUAUGUAUGGAAGGGAUAAGCGCUGAAAGCAUCUAAGCGCGAAGCCCACCCCAAGAUUAGGUAUGCGUGGUUUCGUCAUAGACUAUGACGUUGAUAGGCGUUCGGUGUAAUGUCCGCAAGGACUUUAGCCAAGACGUACUAAUAAUCCCGCCAACCAUC
rnacentral:rRNA from 1 species